CCUUUGGCUGAUCAGAUUUCAGCAGCUCAUUCACCUCCAAGGCCAGGUUCUCAUCUUAUACAUCAGUGGAGCUUUCGCUUAGGGUUGCCAUCCAGAGUCAACACACUGUAAUAACUACAGAGCCUCCCAUUACCGGCUCAGGGCAAGAGACCCAGUCACAAUUGUUCAAAACUACUAGUGAAGCCUUCUUUGGAAAUUGUAACUCACAGGCAAGCGUCUCUGCAUCCCAGAGCAAAUCCUCUGAGAUCCUCAGUCUCUCCUGCUGAAACUUCAUCUUCCACUCCUGCCUUUGGGUCAUUUCCAAACAGCAGGGCACCAGACACGCUCUACCUUAUGUGGAGCCAUACCUAAGUACAAGAGGAUGGAGUUUCACUGUCGACUCAAA
rnacentral:lncRNA from 1 species